rnacentral:rRNA from 1 species
AUGAGAAGCUCUCGCGUGCUUAACACAUGCAAGUCGAACGGAAAGUGCUCUUCGGAGUGACUCGAGUGGCGAACGGGUGAGUAACACGUGGGUGAUCUGCCCUGCACUUUGGGAUAAGCCUGGGAAACUGGGUCUAAUACCGGAUAGGACCACAUGCUUCAUGGUGUGUGGUGGAAAGCUUUUGCGGUGUGGGAUGGGCCCGCGGCCUAUCAGCUUGUUGGUGGGGUAAUGGCCUACCAAGGCGACGACGGGUAGCCGGCCUGAGAGGGUGUCCGGCCACACUGGGACUGAGAUACGGCCCAGACUCCUACGGGAGGCAGCAGUGGGGAAUAUUGCACAAUGGGCGCAAGCCUGAUGCAGCGACGCCGCGUGAGGGAUGACGGCCUUCGGGUUGUAAACCUCUUUCAGUAGGGACGAAGCGCAAGUGACGGUACCUAUAGAAGAAGCACCGGCCAACUACGUGCCAGCAGCCGCGGUAAUACGUAGGGUGCGAGCGUUGUCCGGAAUUACUGGGCGUAAAGAGCUCGUAGGUGGUUUGUCGCGUUGUUCGUGAAAACUCACAGCUUAACUGUGGGCGUGCGGGC